AGCUGUGCUUCAACAACACACUAAAAUUGGAACAAUUACACAGAAGAUUAGCAUGGCCCCUGCACAAAGAUGACAUGCAAUACAUGAAGCAUUCAGUGGGGUUU
rfam:Mesocricetus auratus contig170607, whole genome shotgun sequence.